GUAACAAUUAAAAUUGCUCAAUUCACAUCUAUUUUACUUACAAUUAAUACUAACAGACUUCUGUUUGUUCUUGAAGCAAAUCAAUUUCAGAAGCACGUCAAUUUCUUUGGCACUUUUUCCUGGUAACUCAAUUUCUGCCAAUGACUUUUCUCUGAAUUCAGAAGAGAACAUUCUCUCAAAUACUGGGGACCACAUUGAUAAGGUGCUCCUGUGCACAUGGAAUCUGCGUCCCUCAACCAACAGCACCACAUCACUAAAGUGCCAUGGUGAUGAGAAGGGACUUGAUUCAGUUAGAUCGUCUUCAUCUGUUUUGGACAUCUUUGCAGCUGGUUCUUCAGUUGACAUGCUGCUUAUAUAAGCAAUAAACAAUGAGGUUAUUAAAAUUAUUGACCUUCUGWAUCAACCGUGAUAGACAAAGACAUCUCUGACCUUUGGCAAGCCAGUUUUCCCGCGCAAAUGUUGCGUGACAGAAUCACGCACACAGGAUUUCACAAUCAAGUCAAAGCCUUGGAUCAGCAGCAAGUUUGAAGUAAGUUUCCAGGUAACGCAACCUCUUAAUUGAUGUUUCRAUUGCUUUAUAUGGUUUACUAGUWGGCCAGGAUUUCUCUAGUUUUGACAGACAUUCUUUACAAUCAAGUACAAACGAGGACACUGGCUCAYUGGAAUGAUGACUUGAUUUGCAUCGGAAUUG